CACCUAUACUGCAGCCCACAGACUAUGCAGUAUGCAGGAUUGCCUUAAUAAUUUCAUAAAGUUCUCUGGAAGAAGACUGGUCAGGCAUCUUUGGAGCAAUGUUGACAAUGUCAUCAAAGAUACUAAUCAGCUGUUGUCUGGGAAGAAGAGAGAAUAGGGUGCAAACUUCUACCAGCCAAAGGAGGAGAGAAGAAUUAAGUGAAAGCAGGCUGGCCACAAGGAGGAAGGAAGAUAAAGUUCUUGAGAACUCAACAGAAAAUCGAAGGCCUAAUUCUAAAUGUUUGGGAGCAUGGGUGGGAGGGAUCCAGAUUAAGUUAAUGUAGAGCAAUGCUUCCCAGGUAUUAAGCGUUAAAUCAGUCUUGAUUUCUCUGUCAUUAUUGAAGACUAGCAAAGGUAAAUA
rnacentral:lncRNA from 1 species